rnacentral:rRNA from 1 species
AUUGAACGCUGGCGGCAGGCCUAACACAUGCAAGUCGAACGGUAACAGGAAGAAGCUUGCUUCUUUGCUGACGAGUGGCGGGCGGGUGAGUCAUGUCUGGGAAACUGCCUGAUGGAGGGGGAUAACUACUGGAAACGGUAGCUACUACCGCAUAACGUCGCAAGCCCAAAGAGGGGGACCUUCGGGCCUCUUGCCAUCGGAUGUGCCCAGGUGGGAUUCGCUAGUGGGUGGGGUAACGGCUCACCUAGGCGACGAUCCCUACUUGGUCUGAGAGGAUGACCAGCCACACUGGAACUGAGACACGGUCCAGACUCCUAAGGGAGGCAGCAGUGGGGAAUAGUGGACAAUGGGCGCAAGCAUGAUGCAGCCAUGCCGCGUGUAUGAAGAAGGCCUUCGGGGUGUAAAGUACUUUCAGCGGGGAGGAAGGGAGUAAAGUUAAUACCUUUGCUCAUUGACGUUACCCGCAGAAGAAGCACCGGCUAACUCCGUG